UAUACUUGGAGCAGACGACUGAUAUGGAUCGAAAUUGAAAUAGCGCAGUCCGGAUGGAUCGAAUGCAGUCUCGUUCCUUUCAGUCUUUGAAAAGGAAUCAUCAACCAUUUCAACAGAUGAACUUGGUGAAAAACGUGAAGCCACUGAGGAACUUAUUUGCGGUAUGCCAUCCCAGCUAUCAGCACUUCUAUCUGAACUCAUAAAUGGAAAAUUAGCCUGUAAAGUCCCAGUAGAGGGAUGUCCAGAGAAGAUUGUCCCAUGACUGUCAG
rnacentral:misc_RNA from 1 species